UGGGGAAUAUUGGGCAAUGGGCGCAAGCCUGACCCAGCCAUGCCGCGUGAGUGAUGAAGGCCUUCGGGUCGUAAAGCUCUGUGGGGAGGGACGAACAGCCCGGGUGCUAAUACCAUCCGGGUUUGACGGUACUUCCUUAGCAAGCACCGGCUAACUCCGUGCCAGCAGCCGCGGUAAUACGGAGGGUGCAAACGUUGCUCGGAAUCAUUGGGCGUAAAGCGCACGUAGGCGGUCUUUUAAGUCGGAUGUGAAAGCCCCAGGCUCAACCUGGGAAGUGCAUUCGAAACUGGAAGGCUAGAGUACGGAAGAGGGUCUCGGAAUUCCCGGUGUAGAGGUGAAAUUCGUAGAUAUCGGGAGGAACACCAGUGGCGAAGGCGGAGACCUGGGCCGAUACUGACGCUGAGGUGCGAAAGCGUGGGGAGCAAACAGG
rnacentral:rRNA from 1 species